rnacentral:rRNA from 1 species
UACGGGGGGAGCAAGCGUUGUUCGGAUUUACUGGGCGUAAAGGGCGCGUAGGCGGUCGUGACAAGUCACUUGUGAAAUCUCCGGGCUUAACUCGGAACGGUCAAGUGAUACUGUCGGACUAGAGUACAGAAGGGGCAACUGGAAUUCUCGGUGUAGCGGUGAAAUGCGUAGAUAUCAGGAGGAACACCAAUAGCGAAGGCAGCUCGCUGGGACGGUACUGACGCUAAGGCGCGAAAGCGUGGGGAGCGAACAGG